rnacentral:rRNA from 1 species
GUGAAUCGGGGUGACGGCGGACGGGUUAGUAACGCGUGGGAAUAUGCCCAGAUCUGCGGAAUAGCCUCUGGAAACGGAGAGUAAUACCGCAUACGCCCUUCGGGGGAAAGAUUUAUCGGAUUUGGAUAGCCCGCGUUGGAUUAGGUAGUUGGUGGGGUAAUGGCCUACCAAGCCGACGAUCCAUAGCUGGUUUGAGAGGAUGAUCAGCAACACUGGGACUGAGACACGGCCCAGACUCCUACGGGAGGCAGCAGUGGGGAAUCUUAGACAAUGGGGGAAACCCUGAUCUAGCCAUGCCGCGUGAGUGACGAAGGCCCUAGGGUCGUAAAGCUCUUUCGCCAGGGAAGAUAAUGACGGUACCUGGUAAAGAAACCCCGGCUAACUCCGUGCCAGCAGCCGCGGUAAUACGGAGGGGGUUAGCGUUGUUCGGAAUUACUGGGCGUAAAGCGCGCGUAGGCGGACUAUUAAGUUAGAGGUGAAAUCCCUGGGCUCAACCCUGGAACUGCCUUUAAUACUGGUAGUCUUGAGUUCGAGAGAGGUGAGUGGAAUUCCGAGUGUAGAGGUGAAAUUCGUAGAUAUUCGGAGGAACACCAGUGGCGAAGGCGGCUCACUGGCUCGAUACUGACGCUGAGGUGCGAAAGCGUGGGGAG